UACGUAGGCAGCGAGCGUUGUUCGGAGUUACUGGGCGUAAAGCGUGCGUAGGCGGUGGCCCAAGUCUGGUGUGAAAUCUCCCGGCUCAACCGGGAGGGUGCGCCGGAAACUGGGUCGCUCGAGUACUGGAGAGGCAAGCGGAAUUCCUGGUGUAGCGGUGAAAUGCGUAGAUAUCAGGAGGAACACCCGUGGUGUAGACGGCUUGCUGGACAGUCACUGACGCUGAGGCACGAAAGCGUGGGGAGCAAACAGG
rnacentral:rRNA from 1 species